CCCGCGCAGGGCUCCUCCAAGCCGCGGCCGCUCACUGUCAGGUAACGCGUGCUCCGUCCCCGCCGGUCCCCGCGCCCUGCGCCGCGUCCCGCGCUCGCCUCGCUGCACCCCGGCCGCACCGCGCUUGGAGACGGGCUUGGCAGGGAGACGCAGGCCCGCUCCUAGAAAUGGGCACCCAUUGGUGCUGGGAGGGUGGGGACAAAGCCACAUCCCCCGUGUGUCCCCAGGGCUGAGCCCUGCCCGGGACUGGGCUGCAGCCGUGUCCCCACCCCGGCACCGCGACCGUGCUCGGGUCAAACCCCAGGAACGGACAAAAAUUGGGAGUGUUGGAGAUUUUGGGGGGGCAAAUCGCAGCCCCCGGUUUAAAGCCGGGCGGAGGGACGGGCCUGUGUCCCCCCAAGCCGGUCCUGGUGGCUGGUGGCUCUCGCUUGGUGCCGCUCGCCCGCAGCCCCCUCUAACCCCGCUCUUCUCUUGCACGCUGCCGGGGACGCGCUGACGGUAGGUGACGGGACACUGGCGGGACGGGGACACCCCACGGGACCCCGCUGCUGGUCACCGGUACUGGGGACAGGGCCUGCGGGGCACCCCCGGUGGGCGGGGGGUCCCAGGGACGCCCCACCGCGGUCACCCCACGAGCUGUAACGCGGCACCCCGGGGACCGCGGGGGUCCCUCGCCGCCUGCCAGCAGCUCUGGAGGAGCCGGGGUGUCCCUCCCAGCCCCAGGGACAGGUCAGGAGGGACGUGGCACCCGCAGGGGGUCCCAUCCCUUGUCCCCGGGUGUCCCCGGCGCGGCGCGGGAGCCCCGUUUCUCCCUCCUGUCCUGCAGGCUCUAACGCGCCUCCAGCUGCUGCCUCUCGAACCAGCACAUCCACACCCUCCUCCGCCACGUUCACCCCAGCGUCCCCUGCGGUGCCCCGGGCAGCGAUGGGGACAGUGCCCCCAGGUCACCCGGCAGCUCCUGCCCGCCCCGGCUGAGCUCCUCGCACAGCAGGAAGGCGCUGCGCAACUCGCGGCUCGUCAGCCAGAAGGACGACGUCCAUGUGUGCAUCAUGUGCCUCCGCGCCAUCAUGAACUACCAGUCUGGCUUCAGCCUGGUGAUGAACCACCCAGCCUGUGUCAACGAGAUCACCCUGAGCCUCAA
rnacentral:lncRNA from 1 species